GUCUCCGCACCUGGGAGGGGAAACGGAGCUCUCCCGGCCCCCAGCCCGGCUACCCUGUAAGCAGGGCAGGGCUUUUCCCCAGCCCCGGCAGCUUUCUGCCUGCUGCUGGCCCCUGGCCAGCGUGACCCCCUGUACUCGGGGCGCGUCACAGCCCACGUCCCAGUGCCAGCCCUGAAGCGCCUCAGCGCGUCGAGGCCCCUGCGGCCUCCUUGGAGUGCACGGGCAGGCUCUGAUGCUUUCCUCUCCCGCUCAGUUUUAGGAAUGGCUCCCUAGAGCAGGUUGGCUGCACGGAACUUGCUCCCUCUUCUGGGACUGUCUUGCCCUCCCCUGUCUUCCCUUCCCCUGUCUUCCCCUUAGCUGGUGUGAGUGAGGAAGUGUGUUUGUGCUUCAGCCCCCCCCUUUAGAGAUAGAGCAGCGUAGCUUAGACUUCCCAGGAGGGAAAGAGGGGUUCUGUGCAGCCACAGGCGGGUGCCCAAAAUGCACGGGUGGAGAAAGUGUCCGGCCUUGCCCCUGCUUUCUGAGGACAGCGCGAAGCCGCCUAACGGCAGCGGGGCAUUGUGACCCGCCUGUAGCCAGGGCCUGGGUCCUGCCGGCCCUGUACUCGGGGCACGUGCUGGCACCUUGCAGCGCCCUUUGCCCCAGGAGCAGCCCCACCCAGGUCCCUGUAAGCAGGGCUGGGGAGGCUCCUUUAGCCAGCUGACAGGAACCAGCGCUCCCGGGCCCUUGCCAGGGGGCAGGUUGAAGAAGUGCUGUGCCGCAGGGCGCGGUCCCGCCUUUGGCGCUGCUUUGGGCUGGUGCCACCUCCCUGGCGGCCUUGUUGAGGAGGCUCCCGGGGCUCCUGCAGACGGCUGUGUGCCGUGCUGCGCCGCGGCUGGGCUCCGGCCUCUCCCUAAGUGGGGCGCAGGCCGGAGCCUGUGCUCCGUGGUGCUUGUUGGGGGGUGCCGGGCUGCAGGGGACGGCCCCGUAAGUGGGGUUCUGUGCGUCCCCUGGCCUCGGCGGGCGGUUGGAGGGACCCCCUGUAAUCAGGCGGGUAUCCCUGGCCCCGGUCUUUCAGAGGCGUGGGGCCAGGAGUCAUGGGGCCAGGCAUGCGCCCUCCCUGUCCUCAGGGCUGGGCUCGCGGCCCCUCGGGCCCCUCGGCCUUAGGCCGUGAGCUCGACUGCCUGACUCUAGAGGCUGGUUCCUGUUGCCUUGGGGGAAGGCCGAGCUCCGUGGCUCCCUGGGUGUGGGCCGGCCUGUAAGCAGGCUGCGGGUCUGGGAGCCUUUGUGCUCCCUUCAGCUGGCAGCCUGCGUGGGGCGCCCGCCCCGUUAGUGGGGAGCGGCCCGGAAUUGGAGAGAAGGAGCCUCCUUAGGCCUUGGGGACCAGAGCCGCCCUGUAAGUCGGGGCCAGUGCUCUGGGGCCCCGGGCACUUUGCAGUCCAGGCAGCGGCUUGAGCCCCCUGUAAGCAGGGGUGCAGCCUCUUGGCCGCUGCUUUGCACGCCCAGCUUCAUUUGCCCAGAGGGCCCGGCUCCCAGCACGGCGUGGGACCGCGUCGGACGUUGCCAUGAAGCCGUGGGACGACGAGGCAAGAGCGAGCUGGAGGAGCGGCGUCUUCGAGCUCAAGAGUGGAACGGCGAGGCAAGAGCCAGCUUCAGCAUUGGCAGCUUCCAGCUCAGGAUUGGAACAGCGAGAAGGCGUGGGACGACGAGGCAAGAGCGGCAGCGUCUUCGAGCUCAAGAGUGGAACGGCGAGGCAAGAGCCAGCUUGGAGCUGAAGAGGGGCCACGAGGGGCCCUCUGGGCAAAGGGCUUUUCCAGGCCAGGGCACCUUCAGGGUGCCGCGGCUGGCUUUGCACUGGGCGCCCUCCCUGUCUGCAGGGCUGGGUCUUU